GACGGAGGGUGCAAGCGUUGCUCGGAAUCACUGGGCGUAAAGGGUGCGUAGGCGGUCUCGCAAGUCUGGCGUGAAAGCCCAAGGCUCAACCUUGGGAUGCCGGUGGAUACUGUCGGGCUAGAGUGCGGAAGAGGCGAGUGGAAUUCCCGGUGUAGCGGUGAAAUGCGCAGAUAUCGGGAGGAACACCAAUUGCGAAGGCAGCUCGCUGGGACGUAACUGACGCUGAGACGCGAAAGCGUGGGUAGCAAACAGG
rnacentral:rRNA from 1 species